AGAUUGAACGCUGGCGGCAGGCCUAACACAUGCAAGUCGAGCGGUAGAGAGGUGCUUGCAUCUCUUGAGAGCGGCGGACGGGCGAGUAAUUCCUAGGAAUCUGCCUAGUGGUGGGGGAUAACGUUCGGAAACGGACGCUAAUACCGCGUACGUCCUACGGGAGAAAGCGGGGGACCUUCGGGCCUCGCGCCAUUAGAUGAGCCUAGGUCGGAUUAGCUAGUUGGUGAGGUAAUGGCUCACCAAGGCGACGAUCCGUAACUGGUCUGAGAGGAUGAUCAGUCACACUGGAACUGAGACACGGUCCAGACUCCUACGGAGCAGCAGUGGGAAUAUGGACAAGUGGGACGAAAG
rnacentral:rRNA from 1 species